AUAAAAUAAAAACUAAAAGUUGAAGGGCAUAUGUGAUAUUAGUUAAGAGUUUUACUUGGUAUUGUAAAACAAUAAUACAAAAAGGAUGCCAACAGAUCUAGAAGAAAACAAAGUCAACGUCCUUAUUGUUUUCCCAAGAAGCAAAGCCUCUCUGUCUGCAGUUUGGCUUGAAAUCGAUUUUUAUUUCUAAUUCUCUCUGGAACUAAGUGUGGAAGGAAGGAACAAAGCUAUACUUUGAGUUGGAAGCUGAUUAUUCUCUCCGAAAUUGAGAGCACCAACACCAGAGCACAGCAUACAGGACCCAAAAUACAGGUGCAUAUGAAGGUGAAGCAUAGGGACAUGCAAGUUAAUUUGUUGUUGAUUGUAAUGUUUUCAAUCGGGGCACAUUCUUGAACUUUGGCCCUAGGCCUUAAAUCACCCA